rnacentral:rRNA from 1 species
GAAUUUGAGAGUUUGAUUCUGGCUCAGAGUGAACGCUGGCGGCGUGCCUAAGACAUGCAAGUCGUACGAGAAAGCACCUUCGGGUGUGAGUAGAGUGGCGCACGGGUGAGUAAGACUUGGGUAACCUACCUAUUGGAGGGGGAUAACUCGCCGAAAGGCGGGCUAAUACCGCGUAAGCCGUUUGGGUCUCCGGACCUGACCGGGAAAGCUGUAAAGCGCCGAUAGAGGGGCCCGAGUUCCAUUAGUUUGUUGGUGAGGUAACGGCUCACCAAGACUACGAUGGAUAGCUGGUCUGAGAGGAUGA